rnacentral:tRNA from 1 species
ACAUAUAGCCAAGUUGGAAAGGCAACAGACUGCAACUCUGUGAUUCGUAGGUUCGAAUCCUGCUAUGUG